UAGGAGGUGGUGUAGAGGAUGCACGAGGGGUUUUGAUCCCCUAAGGUUGGGUUCGAAUCCCCUCUUCCUAA
rnacentral:tRNA from 1 species